rnacentral:rRNA from 1 species
UGGGGAAUAUUGGACAAUGGGCGCAAGCCUGAUCCAGCCAUGCCGCGUGAGUGACGAAGGUCUUCGGAUUGUAAAGCUCUUUUUGGCGGGGACGAUAAUGACGGUACCCGCAGAAUAAGCCCCGGCUAACUUCGUGCCAGCAGCCGCGGUAAUACGAAGGGGGCUAGCGUUGUUCGGAAUUACUGGGCGUAAAGCGCACGUAGGCGGACUGAUAAGUCAGGGGUGAAAUCCCGGGGCUCAACCUCGGAACUGCCUUUGAUACUGUUAGUCUCGAGUCCGGAAGAGGUGAGUGGAAUUCCUAGUGUAGAGGUGAAAUUCGUAGAUAUUAGGAAGAACACCAGUGGCGAAGGCGGCCAACUGGCUCGAUACUGACGCUGAGGUGCGAAAGCGUGGGGAGCAAACAGGAUUAGAUACCCCAGUAGUCCCUGAGCGGGCUGGCAAGGCGCAU